CCUGGCUCAGAGCGAACGCUGGCGGCGUGCCUAACACAUGCAAGUCAGAACGUGAAAAAUGGGGCAACCCUGAGUAAAGUGGCGUACGGGUGAGUAACACGUAGGUAAUCUACCCCAGAGUCUGGAAUAACCUGCCGAAAGGCGGGCUAAUACUGGAUAGAGCGACGGAAUCCGUAAUAGGAUUUUUCGGGAAAGGGAGCCCGCAAGGGCCUUUGCUCUGGGAUGAGCCUGCGUCCCAUUAGCUAGUUGGCGAGGUAAUAGCUCACCAAGGCAAUGAUGGGUAGCUGGUCUGAGAGGAUGAUCAGCCACACUGGAACUGAAACACGGUCCAGACUCCUACGGGAGGCAGCAGUGGGAAUCUUGCGCAAUGGACGAAAGUCUGACGCAGCCACGCCGCGUGAGUGAAGAAGGCCUUCGGGUUGUAAAGCUCUGUCGCCCGGGACGAAAAUCUUUUAGGUGAAUAGCCUAGGAGACUGACGGUACCGGGAGAGGAAGCACCGGCUAACUCCGUGCCAGCAGCCGCGGUAA
rnacentral:rRNA from 1 species